UACCAGCACCCCGAGUGGUCGGGACGAUUAUUGGGCCUAAAGCAUCCGUAGCCGGUCAUGCAAGUCUUCCGUUAAAUCCAGCCGCUCAACGGUUGGGCUGCGGAGGAUACUACGUGGCUAGGAGGCGGGAGAGGCAAGCGGUACUCAGUGGGUAGGGGUAAAAUCCUUUGAUCCAUUGAAGACCACCAGUGGCGAAGGCGGCUUGCCAGAACGCGCUCGACGGUGAGGGAUGAAGCCCUGGGGCGCAAACCGG
rnacentral:rRNA from 1 species